GACGAACGCUGGCGGCGCGCUUAACACAUGCAAGUCGAACGGAAAGGCCUGCUUUCCCUUGUGGAUUGCGGGUACUCGAGUGACGAACGGGUGAGUAACACGUAAGUGAUCUGCCCCCAACUUGGGUCUAAGCCUGGGAAACUGUGUCUAAUUCCCGAUAGGACUUCAGGGUUGUUCCUGUUGUGGAAAACGAUUUUCUAGUGGUUGGUGAUGAGCUCGCGUCGUAUCAGCUUGGUGGGGGGGUAGUGGCCUACCAAGGCGGCGACUGGUAGCCGGGCUGAGAGGGUGGGCGGCCAGAGUGGGAAGGAGAGACGGCGCAGACUACGAGGGGAGGCAGCAGGGGGGAAUAUAGCACAAGGGGAGGAAGGAUGAAGCAGCGACGCGGCGUGGGGGAUGACGGCCUGCGGGUGGUAAACUCCUGUCGACCGCGAGGAAGCGACCUGGUUGGAAGGGGGGUGACGGUAGUGGGAGAAGAAGCACCGGCUAACUACGUG
rnacentral:rRNA from 1 species